ensembl:lncRNA
GUGGACUGUGAGGUCUUGGUGUACAUCUUGAGAGGAGCUUUGGCAUUCACCUCCCUCCUGGUUGUUUUACUGGCCUGCACAGUGAUCAAGAUGAAGAAGAGAAACCGUUUAAGACUCCAAGGUGGGGUAGUCAAAUUUUAUUCUUGUAACCACUGAUGAUGGAUUUUCAUAAAAAAAAGGAUUUGUCUGUUUCUCUUUCAGAUUCUCAAGCAAGAUUUUCAGCUUCCUCCGCGGAAAAUGAUGUGAGUUCCCAAGAGGCAGACAACCUCCAUUAUGCGACUGUAUGUUUUAACCAGCCCAACCAAUCAGGACGACAGAGGAAUAACACCGUCGAUGAGUGCGUCUACUCCACUGUGACGCCAUAGAACCAGACAUGUUUCACUUCCACUUUUUUAAGUAAGACUGUACUUGUUACCUUUAAAGUAAAUUUAAAAUGUAGAUCUCGAGGUGAACCUUUUAUGUUUUUCUUCCCAUUGGUCUGUUAUCACUGAGAUGAUAAGAUUAGUCAAGGUUUAGCAAAGCACAUGGACAGCCCUGUACUCUCUAGUGCUAUUGUUGUUACCUUAGAACAAAGUCUCCAUCUAAUCAAACCAGUAAAUUAUUUUAAGGUCAGAUUAUUUGAUGCUGCCCAAGCGACAUCGACUGUUUUGUUUUGCCAACAGUGGCUUUUUCAACACCCUUGUGUAGGUUUUUGUUUGCACAUUUUUGGUUAUUAAAGGUCACACACGUAUGAACUUCUGUCUGAAACCAUGUGAAACCCUUACACAUGCGUAGUAUAUUGUGAGCGUAACCUGGGAAAAAGUUGGGUAAGAAAUGGCAUCCUCCACGUUGAUUUACAUAGGGGCCUGGUGUUUUUAGAGCAAAACAACUGUCUAAAGAUGGCCGCUGAGUGCCAAGACUCCUCUAAAAGGACUUUGGUUUUGAGUGUGAUGGUGACACAUUCUAGGGAGGAAAUAGAUGCGCUCAAGCCUUUUUUGUUAGACCUGGGGGAAACUGUGCGCUUUGUUGAGUUACGUAGGUAGUUUAUGUGAAACUACACUUCCUGUGUGUUGUGCCCACUGUACAGAGGCGGAUGCCGACGUGCUACACAUGCAGCAAGUGUUGACCAGAUGUUACAUGGCCAAAACUUUUAUGAUGUACUAAAGCUGUUAUGCAUGAUAAAAGGUGUUGUCCCUCUUUUGGUAAUCAACAUAGAAAUAAAGCAAUGAAGCAUGCAGUACUCUUAUCGUGAUUACCUUUAAGUCCCCAUGCUUUUUGUAGUGUCUUCUCUUUUCGAGCAGCCCCUUUUUGUGGUUUUCAGCAGGACGCAAGGGCGCCUCUCGCACGGAUAUCCCUUAAAGCACACAGUAAGGUUCAAAGGCAACAGGUCAAAUUCGUACAAUUAUGUCGACCCUGGGAGACCAAAUGUGUACAACUUCAAAGUUACAUAAAGGUCAUUUUAAUUGAUUUUAACCCUCUAAGACCCACUGUUGUAAUAUUACAACGUUACCUUUAGCCACCCUAAAAAACAAUCUGUUACAUUUUAUCUUGUUUUUUACCACAUUUACAUAGUCAUUGGGUCCUAUUGUUUAGUCUCACGAUGCUAUUGGAUAGUACAUUUGUUUUUAAGUCCAGCCUCAUGGCCAUGAACUCACACAACCUCUCAUGGUUUCCUUCGGACAACAUUGCUUUGUUUCAUUGGACUAAAUUCAUCAGAAUCAAGUAAGUAAAAUGUCUUUUAUAUUUUUUUUUGUUGUUAUUACAAUGUCUAGAACAUGUACAUAUGUAGUUUUUGUAGAAUAGAUUCAUCAAGUUUCAUUUAGAGCUUGUUAUAUAAUUGUUGUAAUAUUACAACGUUGGGUGAGUGUGGUAGUCAAAAUAGCAGGCUUGUUGCAGUGGGAACAAACAGGUUGUAUUCCCUCCACUACACCACUGCCUGAAACAGUGUGUUUUUUUAUACAUGGAAAGUAUACAUACUACCCUUGGGUUCAAUUUUGACUGAUUUAAAAGUUUAUCUCCAAAAAAAUGUAGUUAAUUUGAUCAGACUGACCUAAAAUUCCACAACUUUGUCCACAAAGUGGAUAUCAACAGACAUUCAGUUCUGAGAAAGGUGAACAUUUUCCUGAAUGUGGAUGUGUGGAUGUAAGUUGGGGUAUGCAUGUUUUCCUUUUAGUAUGAUAAUUAGAGGGCAUCACAAGCAGUAUUGUCAUGUCAAGGCAGUAUUGUGUGACUUAAUGGCUGGUGAUUGGGAUGCACAUUUCUUUUAGCAUGAUAAGUAGAGAGCAUAGGCUAAGCCAUCAACAUUUACAUUUAGGGCAUUUAGCAGAUGCUUUUGUCCAAAGCGACUUACAAUAAGCAGACAGUAUUGUCUGCCUGGAAAACAUUGGGGAAUUCAUUACAUGGGAACAGCCAGGCAGGUGCGCCUGCCCAACUGUGACCUUGAGGACGAGAAGAGCUUGAAGAAAAAGGAGAGAGAAAGCGAUGACGUCAGAGUGGAGGGGAAUCUCAACAUCUGUGCUGUCAAAUGGUGUGACA